GGGGGGGGUUAAAAGGGACCUCAGCAGGGCGGAAAGGUGGGGGGGGGGUGGAUUUGGGGUGAGGCUGAGCAUAGGGGAACGCUGUGGGGGUCUGCAGGGCCGGGGGGAGCGGCCCCCGAGAGCAGAAGGAGCCCCAUGGGGGGGGUGGAGCUGAAUGAGGGGCAAUGGUGUGUGAUGGCAGCUGGGAAAGCAAAGGGGACCCCGGGCUGCGUCGGCACAGCGGAGGCAGUGGGGUGGGGGGGGGAUUGGCCCCCUCUGCUCUCAUAGAGGGCCCAUCUGCAGUGCGGGGUCCAAUGCAGGAAUGGCAGGGAGGGGUUGGAGAGGGGCUGCAGGACGGGCGCUGGGGUGGGUGAGGGCACUGAGAGGGGAUGAGGGGCACUGAGGUGGGCACUGAGAUGGGCAGAGGGCACAGAGAUGGGCAGGGGGGCACAGAGAGGGGAAGAUGGGUACUGAGGUGGGCACAGAGGUGGGCAGAGGGGCACAGAGAUGGGAAGAUGGGCACAGAGAUGGGCACAGAGGUGGGCAGAGGGGCACUGAGAUGGACACAGAGAUGGGCACAGAGAUGGGCAGAGGGCACUGAGGUGGGCAGAGGGGCAAAGAAAUGGGCACAGAGAUGGGCAGAAUGGUACAGAGGUGGGCAGAGGGGCACUGAGGUGGGCACAGAGGUGGGUACAGAGGUGGGCAGAGGGGCACAGAGGUGGGUACAGAGGUGGGCAGAGGGCAUAGAGAUGGGUACAGAGGUGGGCACAGAGAUGGGCGGAGGGCACAGAGAUGGGAAGAUGGGCACUGAGAUGGGCAGAGGGGCACAGAGGUGUGCAGAGGGGCAAAGAGAUGGGAAGAUGCCACAGAGAGGGGAAGAUGGGUACUGAGGUGGGCACAGAGGUGGGCAGAGGGGCACAGAGGUGGGCAGAGGGGCACAGAGGUGGACAGAGGGGCACUGAGAUGGGCAGAGGGCACAGAGAUGGGCAGGGGGGCACAGAGAUGGGCAGGGGGGCACAGAGAGGGGAAGAUGGGUACUGAGGUGGGCACAGAGGUGGGCACAGAGGUGGGCAGAAUGGCACAGAGGUGGGCAGAGGGGCACAGAGGUGGGCACAGAGAUGGGUACAGAGGUGGGCAGAGGGCACAGAGAUGGGCAGAGGGCAUAGAGAUGGGCACGGGGGUGGGCACAGAGAUGGGCAGGGGGGCACAGAGGUGGGCAGAAUGACGCAGAGGUGGGCAGAGGGGCACAGAGGUGGGAAGAUGGGCACAGAGGUGGGCAGAGGGCACAAAGAUGGGCAGAGGGCACAAAGGUGGGCAGAGGGGCACAGAGGUGAGCAGAGGGCACAGAGGGCAUAGAGAUGGGCACAGAGGUGGGCAGAGGGGCACAGAGACGGGCAGCCCGGUCUGCUAUCACAUCUGGAGGUUAUUGGCCGUGCAUUUUUGGGGGGUCGGAGCUCUGUGAUCUUUGGGGUCCUCCCAAACCACCACUGAUGGGAUCUGGGCAGCCCCGUCUGCUAUCAUAAAUGGGGGUCGGCGGCCGUGCAUUUUUGGGGGGUCGGAGCUCUGUGAUCUUUGGGGUCCCCCCCCGACCCCACCACCGCCCCACGGGGUGACCCCUCCCACCGUCACCCGCAGAGUUCCCGGCUCCGCAGCUGAACGUCAGCAGCGCCUCCCCGGUGGCGACGCAGAACGUGUCGGGGCUGUGCGCUCUGCCGGGGGGGCGCGAGGGGGGCAUUGAGCUGCGGGUGACGGUGGGGCGCAGCGUCGUGGUGGAGCCGUGGGGGCCGUCGCCGCUGCACUUCACGCUGUUGGUGGCGGAGGAACACGACGGCUCCGAGCUGCGCUGCGAGGCCAAAGCGGAGGGCGGAGCUCGGAAACACAGCGGCGCUGUGAGGCUGAACGUCAGCG
ensembl:lncRNA